rnacentral:rRNA from 1 species
CACCACAACAGGUGGAGCCUGCGGUUUAAUCGGACUCAACGCCGGGAAACUCACCAGAUAAGACAGCUGAAUGAUAGUCGGGCUGAAGACUCUACUUGACUAGCUGAGAGGAGGUGCAUGGCCGUCGUCAGUUCGUACUGUGAAGCAUCCUGUUAAGUCAGGCAACGAGCGAGACCCACGCCAACAGUUGCCAGCUCGUCCUCCGGGAUGGUGGGGACACUGUUGGGACCGCCUCUGCUAAAGAGGAGGAAGGAAUGGGCAACGGUAGGUCAGCAUGCCCCGAAUUAUCUGGGCUACACGCGGGCUACAAUGGGUGGGACAAUGGGUAUCGACACCGAAAGGUGAAGGCAAUCUCCUAAACCCAUCCGUAGUUCGGAUUGUGGGCUGCAACUCGCCCACAUGAAGCUGGAAUCUGUAGUAAUCGUGUCUCAAAAUGGCACGGUGAAUAUGUCCCUGCUCCUU